rnacentral:rRNA from 1 species
GUGCAGCAGGCGCGAAAACUCCGCAAUGCGCGAAAGCGUGACGGGGUCACCCCGAGUGCCGUCCGCUGAGGAUGGCUUUUGCCUGGUCUAACCAGCCGGGUGAAUAAGGGGAGGGCAAGUCUGGUGUCAGCCGCCGCGGUAAUACCAGCUCCCCGAGUGGUUGGGACGAUUAUUGGGUCUGAAGCGUCCGUAGCCGGCCGGAAAAGUUCCCCGUUAAAUCUGGCGAUCCAAUCGUUGGGCUGCGGGGAAUACUCUUCGGCUUGGGGGCGAGGGAGGUCGGCGGUAGUCCCGGGCUAGGGGCGCAAAGUGGAUUAGAUACCCCCGUAGUCC